UCGAAUGGGGAGAUUCAUCGUCAGCGAUUCCGGUACGUGUGCGGCUCGCGAUGUCCGAGACUUCGGUCUCGCGGCACGCGUCCGCAUGUUUUUUAUUGCUGRAAUCGUCGGCGUGCACUUCUCCCCUAGUAGGACGUCGCGACCCGUUGGGUGUCGGUCUACGGCACGGUAGGGUAGCCUGUCACGUGUGCGCUUCACGGCGUUACGCGGGGCAGACCUCCGUUCGCCCGACCGGCUGCUCGGCGGUACUCGCAAGGUAUCUGGCCGCAGACAUACGAACUGCGUCCGGCCCGUCGCAAGCGCGGCAAGUGUCUCCCGGCUGUCACGGAUCUAAUGCCGUCACCGGGCCUUGCCAGCUGUUGGUUUUGACGGUGUCCUAGGACUGGCUAACAAUUAUAUUAUGAUACCGGUCGGCGACGCUACUGCUUUGGGUACUUUCAGGACCCGUCUUGAAACACGGACCAAGGAGUCUAACAUGUGCGCGAGUCAUUGGGAGCUAUUAAGCCUAAAGGCGCAAUGAAAGUGAAGAUCGGCCUUGCGCCGAUCGAGGGAGGAUGGACCGCGUCACGAUGCGGUCCCGCACUCCCGGGGCGUCUCGUUCUCAUUGCGAGAAGAGGCGCACCCAGAGCGUACACGUUGG
rnacentral:rRNA from 1 species